CUACACAUGCAGUCGAACGCUGAAGCUCAGCUUUUGUUGGGUGGAUGAGUGGCGAACGGGUGAGUAACACGUGAGUAACCUGCCCUCUUCUUUGGGAUAACGCCCGGAAACGGGUGCUAAUACUGGAUAUUCACUGAUCUUCGCAUGGGGGUUGGUGGAAAGGUUUGUUCUGGUGGGGGAUGGGCUCGCGGCCUAUCAGCUUGUUGGUGGGGUGAUGGCCUACCAAGGCUUUGACGGGUAGCCGGCCUGAGAGGGUGACCGGUCACAUUGGGACUGAGAUACGGCCCAGACUCCUACGGGAGGCAGCAGUGGGGAAUAUUGCACAAUGGCGAAAGCCUGAUGCAGCGACGCCGCGUGAGGGAUGGAGGCCUUCGGGUUGUAAACCUCUUUCGCUCAUGGUCAAGCCGCGAUUUUGGUUGUGGUGAGGGUAGUGGGUAAAGAAGCGCCGGCUAACUACGUGCCAGCAGCCGCGGUAAUACGUAGGGCGCGAGCGUUGUCCGGAAUUAUUGGGCGUAAAGGGCUUGUAGGCGGUUGGUCGCGUCUGCCGUGAAAUUCUCUGGCUUAACUGGGGGCGUGCGGUGGGUACGGGCUGACUUGAGUGCGGUAGGGGAGACUGGAACUCCUGGUGUAGCGGUGGAAUGCGCANAUAUCAGGAAGAACACCGGUGGCGAAGGCGGGUCUCUGGGCCGUUACUGACGCUGAGGAGCGAAAGCGUGGGGAGCGAACAGGAUUAGAUACCCUGGUAGUCCACGCUGUAAAACGUUGGGCACUAGGUGUGGGGGCCACCCGUGGUUUCUGCGCCGUAGCUAACGCUUUAAGUGCCCCCGCCUGGGGGAGUACGGCCCGCAAGGCUUAAAACUCAAAGGAAUUGACGGGGGCCCCCCACAAGCGGGCGGAACAUGCGGAUUAAUUCGAUGC
rnacentral:rRNA from 1 species